CCUGGGGCUGAAGUAGGUCCCAAGGGUUGGGCUGUUCGCCCAUUAAAGCGGUACGCGAGCUGGGUUCAGAACGUCGUGAGACAGUUCGGUCCCUAUCCGUUGUGGGCGCAGGAGAUUUGAGAGGAGCUGUCCUUAGUACGAGAGGACCGGGAUGGACGUACCUCUGGUGUACCGGUUGCAGACCAGCUGCACAGCCGGGUAGCUAUGUAUGGAACGGAUAAACGCUGAAGGCAUCUAAGCGUGAAGCCGGCCUCAAGAUCAGAUUUCCCAUUCUUCGGAAGUAAGGUCCCUUGAAGAUAACGAGGUAGAUAGGUUGGAGGUGUAAGCAUGGCAACAUGUUCAGCUGACCAAUACUAAUAGACCGAGGGCUUGACCAAUAA
rnacentral:rRNA from 1 species